AGCCCCGUGGUGUAAUUCAUGUCAGAUUGCAAAUCUGAAGAUGCGGAGUAUCGCCCGCCGGGGCUU
rnacentral:tRNA from 1 species